rnacentral:tRNA from 1 species
CAAAGUGUAGUUUAUAAAAAUAAUAAUUUUGGAGAUUAUAGAUGUAAAGAAUAUUUAUUACUUUGA